CGCACGGGUGAGGAACGCGUAGGUAAUCUACCCUCUGGCGGGGGACAACACUCCGAAAGGAAUGCUAAUACCGCGUAAGACCACACUCACUACGGUGAGAGCGGUUAAAGGUGCCUCAAAGCACCACCAGAGGAUGAGCCUGCGUCCCAUCAGCUUGUUGGUAAGGUAACGGCUUACCAAGGCGAAGACGGGUAGCUGGUCUGAGAGGAUGAUCAGCCACACUGGUACUGGAACACGGACCAGACUCCUACGGGAGGCAGCAGUGAGGAAUAUUGGGCAAUGGGCGCAAGCCUGACCCAGCCACGCCGCGUGUGUGAUGAAGGCCUUCGGGUCGUAAAGCACUGUGGGGAGAGACGAAACAGCGCAUCAGGAAAUGGUUGCGCCUUGACGGUACCUCCUUAGCAAGCACCGGCUAACUCUGUGCCAGCAGCCGCGGUAAUACAGAGGGUGCAAACGUUGCUCGGAUUUACUGGGCGUAAAGCGCGUGUAGGCGGACUCGCAAGUCGGUUGUGAAAUCCCUGGGCUCAACCUAGGGACUGCAUCCGAAACUGCUUGUCUUGAGUAAUGGAGAGGGUGGCGGAAUUCCCGGUGUAGAGGUGAAAUUCGUAGAUAUCGGGAGGAACAUCAGUGGCGAAGGCGGCCACCUGGACAUUUACUGACGCUGAGACGCGAAAGCGUGGGGAGCAAACAGGAUUAGAUACCC
rnacentral:rRNA from 1 species